rnacentral:rRNA from 1 species
GACGAACGCUGGCGGCGUGCUUAACACAUGCAAGUCGAACGGAAAGGCCCUGCUUUUGUGGGGCGCUCGAGAGGCGAAGGGGUGAGUAACACGUGAGUAACCUGCCCUUGUCUUUGGGAGAACUUCAGGAAACUGGGGCUAAUAUCGGAUAUGAGCUCUUGCUGCAUGUGGUUGGUUGGAAAGUUUCGGCGGUUGGGGAUGGACUCGCGGGUUAUCAGCUUGUUGGUGGGGUAGGUGCUUACCAAGGCUUUGACGGGUAGCCGGCCUGAGAGGGUGACCGGCCACAAUGGGACUGAGAGACGGCCCAGAAUCGUACGGGCGGCAGCAGUGGGGAAUUUUGCGCAAUGGGCGGAAGCCUGAUGCGGCAACGCCGCGUGCGGGAUGACGGCCUUCGGGUUGUAAACAGCUUUCGCCUGUGACGAAGCGUGAGUGACGGUAAUGAGUAAAGAAGCACCGGCUAACUACGUG